UCACAGGAAGAAUCUCAAAUAUGGGAGGAAGUGAACAUACCUUGGUUGUCUUAGGAGGGAAAAAAAAAGAGUCAGAGUCACAGUGUCACAAUGAUUAAAGAAAAAGUUGGGGCUGGCAGCAGCCGACACCCUUUCUAUUGGUGAAAGACUUCUGUAGAGAAUGUGGCCAAAGAGACACCUAGGCUCAUAAAGGCCAGAAUUCUGACUCCAUGUUCUAUGAGGUCACAAGAGCUAAUUCUCCAGCAUAGCUGAAAGUUCCAAUGUCAAGUUCUCUGGGGACACAGAAUACUAGAGUGCUGCAGACAUGGAGCUCUGCCCUUCCUCCAGCCCCAGCCUGCGCACCUUAGCUCUGGCUGCCCCUUCUGUGCAUCAGCUGGAAUUCCCCAGGAGGUAGAGGAGGUUUUGCACAGGGGAAGGCCGUCAAUCACCGGAACUGGGAGGGUAGGACCGUGCUGAGAGGGGAACCCAAGUUCUCAUUCAGGGUGGAGCAACAGCUAAGUCCUGACCAACCUGAGGCAGGCUCGACCUGAUGAAGGGACAGCUCAUCGGGAUCCCUUGUAGUAGCUGGCUCCCCUACAGUCUGGAAUGCCUCAGGGCCAACGUGGGAUCAAGCAGGAAAAGGAAACUGCUGGAUUAACUGUGCCAAACUCAAAUCACUAUGUUCAGUGAAUUACAAGGAGCCAAAGGAAAUGAUGAGGGUAGAUAAGAGACUAAGGUGAACCAAAUGUCCCUAGAGGCUCUAACUGCUGUAUGCGCUUGAUCCCACCAUCCUACUAUCCCUUGUGCCAUAGGUGAGCAUGUGACGAGCGACUACUUGGAGCCAAACAUUUAUGUCCUCCUGAGUCAACUUGUGAAGCUACACACAUGAGACAGUGUGGGUAUGCUGCAUAAUCAGGUUCUUCCUUGAAGACCACUCAUCUCGCUGGUUGAUUCUUGAUGAGGCAGGUGGCAGGAGCUUGGCUUGUUUGAACCCUUCAGGGUCAGAAGUGGAGCAAGAAGACUAGGUUCUCAGAUACUGAGCUAUAAUCACCAACGUUCCUGCAACCUGCUAUUGAUUUCCAAGUCUGGCGGAUGGAAUCCCUGAAGUGGCAGUUUACCAGAGAUGGAGACGCAGAAGUUUCCAGCUCUCCAUGCUAGAAACAGCAUUUGCAUUGUUCUUGCCUGGGAAAUGGAUUACUGUUUCAAAAAUAGGGCUACCCUCGUGGCAAGGAUCAUUCUGAGGCAUCAAUAGCAGGUCUUCUCAGAUCAUUUUGGACCAGGUGCCUUUCUCUGGACAUUUAUGGGAGACCCUGCAAAUCACAGAGAGACAAGAACAAACGACUAGUCCAGAGAUUUCCUUUCCUCAUUUAUAUUCUGCAUCCUAAAACGAGUCUGUUUUCUUUAUAGACAAAUUCCUUUGGAUAAGGCUGGGUCUGCAGGAGAAUCUUCAUCAGAUGCAAUCAAAGUAUAAAGUGGGUCACAUAAAAAAUCAACCAUGACUAACAUUUGAACCCAAGCUAGUUACUUGUAGAGUCAAAGUGUGUGAUCAUAGCCCUCUGGUACCUGUGUUGUGUUUUGAGGAAAGAAGAAGGAGGAAGGAAGAAGGAGGAAGGAGGAAGGAGGAAGGAGGAAGGAGAAUGACAAGGUUCAAGGCAAAAUAUACAACUCUUGGUUCAGACUGUUCUCUGAAAAAGUCAAAGAACAAUGGAAGUCUAUAGGAGAGCCCUGGACCCAGAGGUUGGGGAAAUGCUCUCUGGAUCUCUCAUGUCUAGGAUCUACUUCCCACUGUCAACACCAAAUUAUAGUACAGAAAGAUGCUUUAACACAGCUCCAAGCUGCAUCAGUCACUUCCAUUGGGUUUUAUUGGUCUUUGAGAGUUUGCCUACUGAAUAGUAAGUCUGAGGACCAACUCAUGUCCCAAGUCAGAGCAAACUGCUGUCAUCUUCGAUGUGACUUGAAAAGUCACAUGGAGAGAAGUCAGUUUUGCAUUCAGCACGGGAUGUUUUCAGAGUGUGAGGACAUACCCACCAUCUUGGGAUGAUAUCCAUUUCAGUAUGUUAAAAGUGUUUGCAAACAUAAAAUAUAUAAAGGCAUAACACAAAUGGCAUAUACAGGCCAUCAACUCUUUGAAAAGGUCAGUUUCCCUAAAACAAGUUAAGGGAGGCGCAUAUGAAGCAUGGCUGGCCUUUGAUGCUUGCAGAUUUAAGCUAACAGCACGUAGACAUGUUGCUAAGGCGUGAAUGGAGAUGCUUUACUAUAUGGUCAGCACACAGGGAAGGGCACACUACUCGGGGAGACAGGGAGCCUGGCCAGGGGGCUGGGUCCCACUUCUGGCACUAUUCUCCAACACAUGUGUGCAGUGAUUCUCAGGUAGUGGCAAAACCUUCACUCCCUUGUAAAAAAAAAAUUGUGGCCCUUGAGCCCUUAUCAAAGUCAGAAGAGGAAACAAGUAUGCGGCUGUGCAAAGCAGACUUUCUGUACUUUCUAUCCCACAGUUCUGAGAACAGCUAGGGAUGUGCAUGGGAUGAGCCCGUGCCUCGAGUGUGCUGUUGAAUCAGGAGCCCUGUUUGCCCGUCCUCAUCUCUGGGUCAAGGGACCAGAUGUACAGCCUUACUCCCCCAGUCCACUGGGACCAACCUCACUUACUGAGGUCACGGUAUAUCUUUGGUAUCGGUCCACAAAGUCUCUAGCUCACUGUACCUAGCUCUUAACCUGGGUCCACAGCUCUUCAAACACGUAAGGAGAUGUAUCUCCUAUGAAACUCUUCCUUCUACGAUAAUCCAUUUAAACUCACUUUUCUAUUCUUCUGAACUUGAAUGGCCCUUGGCACUUAUAUUCCAGGGUCAGACAGCUUGGCCAUAGUUAUCUGUCUGCCAUCAGUACUACUUACACUAUUACCAC
rnacentral:sRNA from 1 species